rnacentral:misc_RNA from 1 species
CCUCCUCUGUAAGGCCUUCGUCUUCUCCAGCAUUUUCAUCCCAACCAAGUGACCGUAAAAAGGCAGCCUCUUCCUCAUCUGGGUUGGGAGUUAUGUCAGAGUUUGAAUCCUUCUCUCCGUUGUCAAAUAGAUGAGUCCCAUUGUAAGUAUCUCCAUUGUGGAUUAUUUUACCUCUAUUAUCACUGGACAAGCUAGUAACAGAUAUUUCUGAUGAAGAAGAAUCUCCAUCAUUCUCAGUAACUGAAGCAGCAGUACGUUCUGUGACAGAUUCACUAGACUUCUUCUCUGGGGAGGAUGACAAUGAAACAGGACUAGGAUCCGAUACCCCAGCUGUGGAGUUUGUGGAGGAUUUCUUCUUUAGGUGGUUAAAAAAAUCAUUCCGGCUCUGGAUUUGAAACGCUGGUCUCUUCUCUACGGUUGGCCGCAAAACUGAAGGAAGGUGCUCGGCACUGGGACGGUUUGGAU